UACGGAGGAUGCGAGCGUUAUCCGGAUUUAUUGGGUUUAAAGGGUGCGUAGGCGGAGUGUCAAGUCAGCGGUAAAAUUUCGGGGCUCAACCUCGUCGUGCCGUUGAAACUGACACCCUUGAGUGAGUGAGAAGUAAGCGGAAUGCGUGGUGUAGCGGUGAAAUGCAUAGAUAUCACGCAGAACUCCGAUUGCGAAGGCAGCUUACUAAGCCAUAACUGACACUGAAGCACGAAAGCGUGGGGAUCAAACAGG
rnacentral:rRNA from 1 species